rnacentral:misc_RNA from 1 species
AUUGCAGUGAUGGGGCGCGUGGUGGUGGUGGUGGUGGUGGCGGCAGCAACGGCAGCAGCGGGAUGUCGGGCGAGCCCUCUGCCAGUGAGGGUGUCGCCUGACGCACCCCCACAGGAGAGGCUGCAGGCCGCCCACACACUCCUCGCCACCUCUCCGCUCAUCGAUGGGCACAACGACCUGGCCUGGAACGUGCGUAAGUUUCUGCACAACAAACUGCACUCCUUCAACCUGUCCAGCGACUUGACGAAGGAGAAACCGUGGAGAAACUCCCGCUUCUCCCACACCGACCUGCCGCGCCUCAGGAAGGGCCAGGUGGCUGCCCAGUUCUGGUCGGUGUACGUGCCGUGCGGGGCGCAGUACCUCAACACGGUGCAACUCCUGCUGGAGCAGGUGGACACAGUGCGCAGGAUGGUGGCCGCCAGCCCGCACGACACCGUACUCGUGCGCUCCUCCUCCGAGAUCCUGGAGGAGUUUCGUCGCGGGCGAGUGGCGAGCCUGAUGGGCGUGGAGGGUGGGCACGGCCUGGCCAGCAGCAUGGGCGUGGUGCGGGCGCUCUAUGACCUUGGUGUGCGGUAUGUCACGCUCACCCACAAGUGCCACACGCCAUGGGCGGAGUGCUCUGAGCCUGACCCGCACCUGCCCAACACGCGUGGCCUCACGCCCUACGGCAAGGAGCUAGUGCGGGAGAUGAACCGCCUGGGCCUGAUGGUGGACCUGUCGCACGCGUCAGCCAGGACAGCGAGGGACGUGCUGAACACCACCCGAGCCCCAGUCAUCUUCUCCCACUCGGCGGCUCGCGCACUCUGCCGCAUAGAGAGGAAUGUUCCUGACGAUGUACUCAGCUCUCUGGCAGAGAAUGGCGGGAUUGUGAUGAUCAGCUUCUACAACGACUUCUUGACGUGCAGCGAGAAAGCCUCCGUGCAGGACGUGCUCACAUCAACCAUGUCCGCAGCAUGGCCGGCGUGGACCACGUGGGACUGGGCGCGGGUUACGACGGCAUCAACAGGACUCCGAGCGGGUUAGAAGACGCCUCGCGCUACCCGAAGCUGUUUGCGGAGCUGCUCAAGGACACGACGUGGUCUGUGCAGGAUCUCAAGAAGUUAGCGGGACUUAACUUCCUGCGAGUGUUUGCCAGAGUGGAGCAGGUGCGGGAGGAGCUGUCCUCGGAGCGUCCCUCGGAGGAGAUCAUUCCCAUCCACGACAUUGACAGCCGCUGGCCCUGCAGGUACAAGUUCGCCAGGCUUGAUGAUGCCCGCACCUGACCUUCUUCGCCCCCGCCAGGAGGCUUCAGGCCCUUACAGGACUCCCUCGCCACUACCAAGAGUCGUCAGCCCACGCGCUCACUCUCACCGCCCUCUUCGUUGUAUGGCAUUCAUUUCCCUGCACACCGUCACCCACAACUCCCCACCACCAUCAUGGAAUCUUCUCCCUUGAUCCAUUCAUUCCUUUUCUCUCGCACUGCACUCCUGUUGAUGAUUUCCUUGUUUCACCCGUCACUCCUUCACUCUUUCACUGCUUCACCCGUACUUCAUCCACGUAGUGUAUCACCUCUCUAUUACUGCUGACCUCUCUUUUCCUUUCUCGUUUAUACUAUUUUGUUUGUUUGCUUUCAUCUUUUUCUAACCUCAUUUCACCUCUUUCCAUCUCGGUUGUGUCUCCCUUCCUUGCAUUGAUUUACUAUAUCAUUAUUACGUCUCUCCGCUGGAGUGUCACGUUUUCUCAACAAUAAUAAUGACUAAAGAGCAGAUAGAAUAAAUACCAUUCAAGGCGACUUCUUGAUCCAUCAUAUCCUUUAACAAAAAUGUUAUUUCAUGAGUUAGUGCUCGUCUGCCCAUAGCGAUACUAGUUCUAAAAAAAAAAAAAAAAAAUCAGUGAGCAGAGCAGCCGGUGCAUAUUGCUGUAGUGCGCUGUGCAGCAUUGCUAUACACAGCGCCGAGUUUAUAAUUACCUCUCUUUUACGGUAUUCAUCCCACCACCACGUACUGGCCCUCCCCUUCUCCCCACGAGCUUCCCGUCCUUCCUGCAAGUCUGAUGUCUUCGCAUCAUCAUCAAGAACGUCCGGAGAGCGCACCACUGACACCACCGCUUCCUCACGCGCUCCAUGAAGCCGGUGUGUGCAUUAAUUACGGCAAGAAAGAGGAAAGUUCGGCACCAAACGUUGGACACAUGCGAGCGAACAAGCGCAUGCACAUUUGUGUGUGUGUGUGUGUUUGUAUGUGUGUAAUUCACCUCGGUCGCUUGCUGGUCACCCAGCCAGUCUUCCCCAUUACGGAGCGAGCUCAGAGCUCAUAGACCGAUCUUCGGGUAGGACUGA